rnacentral:rRNA from 1 species
CCUACGUGAGGCUGCAGUGGGGAAUAUUGGGCAAUGGUCGCAAGCCUGACCCAGCAACGCCGCGUGAAGGAAGAAGGCUUUCGGGUUGUAAACUUCUUUUGUCAGGGACGAAGCAAGUGACGGUACCUUCCUAAUCAGCCACGGCUAACUACGUGCCAGCAGCCGCGGUAAUACGUAGGUGGCAAGCGUUAUCCGGAUUUACUGGGUGUAAAGGGCGUGUAGGCGGGACUGCAAGUCAGAUGUGAAAACCACGGGCUCAACCUGUGGCCUGCAUUUGAAACUGUAGUUCUUGAGUACUGGAGAGGCAGACGGAAUUCCUAGUGUAGCGGUGAAAUGCGUAGAUAUUAGGAGGAACACCAGUGGCGAAGGCGGUCUGCUGGACAGCAACUGACGCUGAGGCGCGAAAGCGUGGGGAGCAAACAGGAUUAGAUACCCCGGUAGUC